UACAGAGGGUGCGAGCGUUAAUCGGAGUUACUGGGCGUAAAGGGCGCGUAGGCGGUAGUAUGGGUGUGAUGUGAAAGCCCUGGGCUUAACCUAGGAAGUGCAUCGCAAACUAUACAACUGGAGUACAAGAGAGGGUGGCGGAAUUUCCGGUGUAGCGGUGAAAUGCGUAGAGAUCGGAAGGAACGUCAAUGGCGAAGGCAGCCACCUGGCUUGAUACUGACGCUGAGGCGCGAAAGCGUGGGGAGCGAACAGG
rnacentral:rRNA from 1 species